rnacentral:rRNA from 1 species
GGUAAUGCCGGAUGCUCCAGUUGGAUGCAUGUCCUUCUGGGAAAGAUUCUAUCGGUAUGGGAUGGGGUCGCGUCCUAUCAGCUUGAUGGCGGGGUAACGGCCCACCAUGGCUUCGACGGGUAGCCGGCCUGAGAGGGCGACCGGCCACAUUGGGACUGAGAUACGGCCCAGACUCCUACGGGAGGCAGCAGUGGGGAAUAUUGCACAAUGGGCGCAAGCCUGAUGCAGCGACGCCGCGUGCGGGAUGACGGCCUUCGGGUUGUAAACCGCUUUUGACUGGGAGCAAGCCCUUCGGGGUGAGUGUACCUUUCGAAUAAGCACCGGCUAACUACGUGCCAGCAGCCGCGGUAAUACGUAGGGUGCAAGCGUUAUCCGGAAUUAUUGGGCGUAAAGGGCUCGUAGGCGGUUCGUCGCGUCCGGUGUGAAAGUCCAUCGCUUAACGGUGGAUCCGCGCCGGGUACGGGCGGGCUUGAGUGCGGUAGGGGAGACUGGAAUUCCCGGUGUAACGGUGGAAUGUGUAGAUAUCGGAAAAGAACACC